UGAGGAAUAUUGGGCAAUGCCCGCAAGGGUGACCCAGCAACGCCGCGUGGAGGAUGAAUGUCGUAAGAUUGUAAACUCCUGUUAGAGGGGAAGAAUAGUACCGGUUGGACCGGUAUAUGACUGUACCCUCAGAGAAAGCCCCGGCUAACUACGUGCCAGCAGCCGCGGUAAUACGUCGGGGGCAAGCGUUGUCCGGAUUUACUGGGUGUCAAGGGCGCGCAGGCGGGAUAAAAAGUCAGUGGUGAAAUCCUACAGCUUAACUGUAGAACUGCCUUUGAUACGUUUAUUCUUGAGUUCGGGAGGGAGAGACGGAAUUCCAGGUGUAGUGGUGAAAUACGUAGAUAUCUGGAAGAACACCAGUUGCGAAGGCGGUCUCUUGGUCCGACACUGACGCUGAGGCGCGAAAGCGUGGGGAGCAAACA
rnacentral:rRNA from 1 species